rnacentral:rRNA from 1 species
GAUGAACGCUGGCGGCGUGCUUAACACAUGCAAGUCGAGCGUGAAGUUUUGAAAAGAUUCUUCGGAUGAAAUUUAAAAUGGAAAGCGGCGGACGGGUGAGUAACGCGUAGGCAACCUGCCCCAUACAAAGGGAUAGCACUUGGAAACGAAUAUUAAUACCUUAUGAAACUUAACUAGUGCAUGCUAGGUAGGUCAAAGAUUUAUCGGUAUGGGAUGGGCCUGCGUCUGAUUAGCUAGUUGGUGAGGUAACGGCUCACCAAGGCGACGAUCAGUAGCCGACCUGAGAGGGUGAACGGCCACAUUGGAACUGAGACACGGUCCAAACUCCUACGGGAGGCAGCAGUGGGGAAUAUUGCACAAUGGGGGAAACCCUGAUGCAGCAACGCCGCGUGAACGAUGAAGGCCUUUGGGUCGUAAAGUUCUGUUCUAGGUGAUGAAAACUGACAGUAACCUAGGAGAAAGCCCCGGCUAACUCCGUGCCAGCAGCCGCGGUAGUACGGAGGGGGCAAGCGUUAUCCGGAAUUAUUGGGCGUAAAGGGUACGUAGGUGGCCUUUUAAGCGUAGGGUAUAAGGCAAUGGCUCAACCAUUGUUCGCCCUAUGAACUGGAAGGCUUGAGUGCAGGAGAGGAAAGCGGAAUUCCUAGUGUAGCGGUGGAAUGCAUAGAUAUUAGGAGGAACAUCAGCGGCGAAGGCGGCUUUCUGGACUGCAACUGACACUGAGGUACGAAAGCGUGGGGAGCAAACAGG